rnacentral:sRNA from 1 species
UGAAACCAAAAUAUUUCAAUACUAGAUUUUAACCCGCGGUACACCGCGGGGACAAUUUAUAUUUUAAAGUUAAUAUAUAU